rnacentral:rRNA from 1 species
UACGUAGGGUGCAAGCGUUGUCCGGAAUUAUUGGGCGUAAAGAGCUCGUAGGCGGUCUGUCGCGUCUGCUGUGAAAUCUCAGGGCUUAACCCUGAGCUUGCAGUGGGUACGGGCAGACUAGAGUGCGGUAGGGGAGACUGGAAUUCCGUGGUGUAGCGGUGAAAUGCGCAGAUAUCAGGAGGAACACCGGUGGCGAAGGCGGGUCUCUGGGCCGUAACUGACGC